CGCCUYUUGUAGACCAUAAAUAAGAGGUCCCGCCUGCCCUGUGACCAUAGUUUAACGGCCGCGGUAUUUUGACCGUGCAAAGGUAGCGCAAUCACUUGUCUUUUAAAUAAAGACCUGUAUGAAAGGCAUAACGAGGGCUAGACUGUCUCCUUCCUCCAGUCAAUGAAAUUGAUCUUCCCGUGCAGAAGCGGGAAUGAGACCAUAAGACGAGAAGACCCUAUGGAGCUUUAGAAGUAUAGAUGAUUUUAUAGUUAAAUACCUGUUUAAAGGAAUAAACAAGUAUAAUUCAACUAAAUUUCUUCGGUUGGGGCGACCGCGGGGUAAAAAAAACCCCCCGUGAAGAACAGGACAAAUUCUUUGAACCAAGAGUGACAACUCCAAGUAACAAAACAUUUGACAUAAGAUCCGGCAUAGACCGAUCAACGAACCUAGUUACCCUAGGGAUAACAGCGCAAUCCUCUUUAAGAGUCCCUAUCGACAAGAGGGUUUACGACCUCGAUGUUGGAUCAGGACAUCCUAAUGGUGCAGAAGCUAUUAAGGGUUCGUUUGUUCAACGAUUAAAGUCCU
rnacentral:rRNA from 1 species